CAAUAGCGUAUAUUAAAGUUGUUGCAGUUAAAAAGCUCGUAGUUGGAUUUCUGGUAGGAGUGACCGUUCCGAACUUGAUUGUUCGUGUAUUGUGUUUUCUCCAGCCAUCCUUGUGGAGAACUUUUCUUGCAUUAAUUUGUAAGGAUUGGGACCCGCAUCGUUUACUGUGAAAAAAUUAGAGUGUUUAAAGCAGGCAAUCGCUUGAAUACAUUAGCAUGGAAUAAUAAGAUAGGACUUUGGUACUAUUUUGUUGGUUUGCAUACCAAAUUAAUGAUCAACAGGAACAGUUUGAGGAUAUUCGUAUGAACAUGUCAGAGGUGAAAUUCUUGGAUUUUGAUCAGACGAACUACUGCGAAAGCAUUUAUCAAGGAUGUUUUCAUUAA
rnacentral:rRNA from 1 species